GGAAAAUAUGCGUAUGCUUGCUUUAUUUUAAAGAAAACCUAAUAAAAAUAUCAGGGGCUUCUGAGUCAGGUUAAGUAAUGACAAUACUUCAUCCUCCUCACAAUGUUAAUUGGUUCGGUAAUAGCAAGUGAACCAGGAAUGCAGGCUGUGCAUAUUCUCCAUCUCUGCUUCUGCUGUCUCAUGUGUAAAUGGCUUUUCCUAAGGAGGAGGGCCACUAAGGAUAAGUCUUAGGCAAGAACAUGUGUUGGAACACAAAUGGCAGUAGGUAAACGUUUUCUCUGGCAUUCCAUUUUUCCGGAAGUCUCUUUGUGGGCAUUCUUCCUUGAGAACAGAUAUUCCCUGAAAAUAUCUUUUCUUUAGUUAAUCUUACUGGAGAUCUUUAUUUCUUCAAACUGCACUUGAGUACCAUCUGAUGUCCUUUCACUUAAACUUAGGACUCCCUUUAGCAUUUCUUGCAGGGCAGGUCUACUGGUAAUGAACUCCCUCAUCUUUUGUUUAUCUUCUUAAUGUCUUAAUUUCUUCCUCAUUUUUGAAAAAAAAAAAUUAUCCGAUAACAAAUUCUUGAUUGACAGGGUUUUUGUUUUUUUUUUCUUUCAGCACUUUAAAUAUGUCACUGCACUGCCCUCUGGUUUCCAUGGUUUCUGAUGAGAAAUUGUUAAUCUUAUUAAAGCACCCUGUACAUGACGGUCACUUCUCUCUUGCUGCUUUCAAGAUUCUCUCUUAGUCUUUGGCUUUCACCCGUUUUAUCUCUAGGAUGCAGGAGAGAAUUCUAGAUCAAAGCUAUACAUCUUGGAGUUGUCGGAAUAGAAAUGAUAAAGGAGCCUGAGAAGGGGUGGUCAGAGAGGUAGAAGAAUAUCGGAAGCUGUGGUAUCCUGGAUGCCCAAUGAUGAAAGUGUUUCAAGGCGGAAGGCAUCAUCAAAUAUGUUGAAUGCAGCUGAUAGGUCAGACUCUAUGCCUGUGGUGAGCAGGGUCUGCCCUCAUUUACAACAUCGCUUAACCCGAUGCCUGGUGCAAAGUGAUUGAGCAAUAAAUAUAGAAGAAAUAAAGAAAAUGAGGAGGACGCACCGUUCCUCGGGCUACUCUUGGAAAUAUCAGUAGUCAGAGCCAGAAUUUUGAAUGGAAGCUUUGGAAGAGAUGAAAAUCUAUCUGGAGUGGACUGUGGUAAGCACUAGAAUGGGGAGGUUGAGGAGACCACCCGUGUGCUACAGAGCCAGGUAGUACUGUUGCUUGUUCCCCGAUGUGGAGAUGCUGAUUU